rnacentral:rRNA from 1 species
GACGAACGCUGGCGGCGUGCUUAACACAUGCAAGUCGAACGGAAAGGCCCCUUUUGGGGUACUCGAGUGGCGAACGGGUGAGUAACACGUGCGUAACCUGCCCUUGACUUCGGGAUAACUUCAGGAAACUGGGGCUAAUACCGGCUAGGAAUCCUUGCUGCAUGGUGGGGGUUGGAAAGCUUCGGCGGUUUUGUAUGGACUCGCGGCUUAUCAGCUUGUUGGUGGGGUAGUGGCUUACCAAGGCUUUGACGGGUAGCCGGCCUGAGAGGGCGACCGGCCACAUUGGGACUGAGAUACGGCCCAGACUCCUACGGGAGGCAGCAGUGGGGAAUAUUGCACAAUGGGCGGAAGCCUGAUGCAGCAACGCCGCGUGCGGGAUGACGGCCUUCGGGUUGUAAACCGCUUUCAGCAGGGGCGAAGCUUGUGGUGACGGUACCUGCAGAAGAAGCACCGGCUAACUACGUG